GCCGACGUGGUGGAAUUGGUAGACACGCUACCUUGAGGGGGUAGUGGGCUACGCUUGUGCGAGUUCGACUCUCGCCGUCGGCACCA
rnacentral:tRNA from 2 species